rnacentral:rRNA from 1 species
GGCGGCGUGCCUAAUACAUGCAAGUCGAACGCAUUGUGGUUGAAAUGAUAUGAAGAACUUGUUCAGAUUUGAUUUUCAACAUUGCAAUGAGUGGCGAACGGGUGAGUAACACGUGGGAAACCUACCUCUUAGCAGGGGAUAACAUUUGGAAACAAAUGCUAAUACCGUAUAAUAAUUAAAACCGCAUGGUUUUAGUUUAAAAGAUGGUCUUGCUAUCACUAAGAGAUGGUCCCGCGGUGUAUUAGUUAGUUGGUGAGGUAAUGGCUCACCAAGACAAUGAUACAUAGCCGAGUUGAGAGACUGACCGGCCACAAUGGGACUGAGACACGGCCCAUACUCCUACGGGAGGCAGCAGUAGGGAAUCUUCCACAAUGGACGAAAGUCUGAUGGAGCAACGCCGCGUGUGUGAUGAAGGGUUUCGGCUCGUAAAACACUGUUGUAAGAGAAGAAUGACAUUGAGAGUAACUGUUCAAUGUGUGACGGUACCUUACCAGAAAGGAACGGCUAAAUACGUGCCAGCAGCCGCGGUAAUACGUAUGUUCCAAGCGUUAUCCGGAUUUAUUGGGCGUAAAGCGAGCGCAGACGGUUAUUUAAGUCUGAAGUGAAAGCCCUCGGCUCAACCGAGGAAUUGCUUUGGAAACUGGAUAACUUGAGUGCAGUAGAGGAAAGUGGAACUCCAUGUGUAGCGGUGAAAUGCGUAGAUAUAUGGAAGAACACCAGUGGCGAAGGCGGCUUUCUGGACUGUAACUGACGUUGAGGCUCGAAAGUGUGGGUAGCAAACAGGAUUAGAUACCCUGGUAGUCCACACUGUAAACGAUGAGUGCUAGUUGUUCGAGGGUUUCCGCCCUUGAGUGACGAAGCU